CCCGGCCCGGCCGCCGCACCCCGCCCCGGCCGGCCCCUCUAGCAUGGUGCGGGGCCGCCGCCGCCUCGUCCUCCGGCUGCCGACAUGGGCGAGAGGCUGGAGCUGCGGCUGAAGUCGCCCGUGGGAGCCGAGCCCGCCGUGUACCCCUGGCCGCUGCCCGUCUACGACAAACACCACGAUGCUGCUCAUGAAAUUAUUGAGACAAUUCGGUGGGUCUGUGAAGAAAUCCCAGAUCUCAAGCUUGCCAUGGAAAACUAUGUUUUAAUUGACUAUGAUACAAAAAGCUUUGAGAGCAUGCAGAGACUGUGUGACAAGUACAACCGAGCCAUUGACAGCAUCCACCAGUUGUGGAAGGGGACCACGCAGCCCAUGAAGCUGAACACGCGUCCCUCCAACGGGCUCCUGCGGCACAUCCUGCAGCAGGUCUACAACCACUCGGUCACCGACCCCGAGAAGCUCAACAACUACGAGCCCUUCUCGCCCGAGGUCUACGGAGAAACCUCCUUUGACCUGGUGGCCCAAAUGAUCGAUGAGAUUAAAAUGACAGAGGAUGAUUUGUUCGUUGACUUGGGCAGUGGUGUGGGGCAGGUGGUGCUUCAGGUGGCUGCAGCCACCAACUGCAAACAUCACUACGGAGUGGAGAAAGCUGAUAUUCCAGCCAAGUAUGCUGAGACGAUGGACAGAGAGUUCAGAAAAUGGAUGAAAUGGUAUGGGAAGAAACAUGCAGAAUACACACUGGAAAGAGGUGACUUCCUCUCAGAAGAAUGGAGGGAGAGGAUUGCAAACACAAGUGUUAUUUUUGUGAAUAAUUUUGCCUUCGGGCCCGAGGUGGAUCACCAGCUGAAGGAGCGCUUUGCCAACAUGAAGGAAGGUGGGAGAAUUGUGUCCUCAAAACCUUUUGCACCUCUAAAUUUUAGAAUUAACAGUCGAAACUUGAGUGAUAUUGGCACUAUCAUGAGGGUGGUGGAGCUGUCACCACUGAAGGGCUCAGUGUCCUGGACGGGGAAGCCAGUCUCCUACUACCUGCACACCAUUGACAGAACCAUACUUGAAAACUAUUUUUCUAGUCUCAAAAAUCCAAAACUCAGGGAGGAACAAGAGGCAGCUAGACGUCGUCAACAAAGAGAAAACAAAAGUAACACAACGACUCCAACGAAGGUCCAAGAGAACAAGGAUUCUGGUGCUGAAGAAGAAAAAGCUGCAGCAAAUUCUGUUAAAAAGCCAUCUCCCUCCAAGGCCAGGAAGAAGAAGCUGAGUAAGAAGGGCAGGAAAAUGGCAGGGAGGAAACGAGGGCGCCCCAAGAAAAUGAACACGGCGAGCACCGAGCGCAAGACCAAGAAGAACCAAACUGCACUAGAACUUCUGCAUGCUCAGACUGUCUCCCAGACAUCUUCAUCCUCUCCUCAGGAUGCCUACAAGUCACCUCAUAGCCCAUUUUACCAACUACCUCCUAAAGUGCAACGGCAUUCGUCCAACCAGCUCCUGGUGACACCCACCCCCCCUGCACUACAGAAGCUGCUAGACUCCUUUAAGAUCCAGUACAUGCAGUUCAUGGCAUACAUGAAAACUCCUCAGUACAAAGCAAGCCUGCAACAGUUACUGGAGCAGGAAAAGGAGAAGAAUGCUCAGCUGCUGGGGACAGCCCAGCAGUUGUUCACGCACUGCCAGGCCCAGAAGGAGGAGAUCAAGCGCCUGUUCCAGCAGAAGCUCGAUGAGCUGGGAGUUAAAGCUCUGACGUACAACGACCUGAUCCAGGCUCAGAAGGAAAUCUCUGCUCACAACCAGCAGCUGAAAGAACAGACAAAACAGCUGGAGAAGGACAACAGUGAACUCAGGAACCAGAGCUUGCAGCUGCUGAAGGCUCGCUGUGAAGAACUGAAGCUGGAUUGGUCAACGCUGUCACUGGAGAACUUGCUGAAAGAGAAGCAGGCCUUGAAGAAUCAGAUUUCUGAGAAGCAAAAGCACUGUUUGGAACUGCAGAUCAGCAUCGUGGAACUCGAGAAGAGUCAGCGGCAGCAGGAGCUGCUGCAGCUCAAGUCCUACACACCCUCAGAGGAGCCCCUGCCAGUGCAGCUGCACAGCAAAAGCCACCUGAGCCGUGACCCCGAGGCUGAGCAGGGCAGGUUCCAGCUGGAGCUGGAGUGCUCCAAGUUCCCCAUGCCCCACAUCAAUGGCAUGAGCCCCGAGCUGUCCAUGAACGGCCACGCCACCCCCUACGAGCUGCAGCACGCCUUCAGCCGGCCCUCGUCCAAGCAGAACACCCCCCAGUACCCCAGCUCCCACCUGGACCAAGACAUUGUGCCCUGCACCCCCAACCACAGCAGCAGGCAGAAGGCAGACAAGGUGACCAGCCUGGCCCUCCCUGAUUACACCAGGUUCUCCCCUGCUAAAAUCGCCCUGCGCAGACACUUGAAUCAGGACCACGGAGUCAAUGGAAAAGCCACAGCUAAUGAGAUACAGAGAGCUGAGCACGUCAAAGAGAAUGGCCUUACAUAUCCAAGCCCUGGAAUUGCAAAUGGCAUAAAGCUGAGUCCUCAGGAAACUCGGCCCUCCUCCCCCGCGGCCUUACCCAGUGCAGGAGAGAAGGUUUUGAGAGAGAGAACCUCUGUGAGUAAUGGAGAAACUAUCACCAGCCUCCCUAUCAGUAUUCCUCUGAGCACAGUGCAGCCCAAUAAACUCCCUGUUAGUAUCCCUCUGGCCAGCGUAGUCCUACCUAGCCGUGUUGAGAAGGUGAGAAGCACACCCAGCCCAGUUCACCAGAGCAGAGACUCAUCAACACUUGAAAAGCAGAUUGGUGCUAGUUCUCAUAAUGGCAUAAGCAAUGCUGCUGGAAACAAGCCUCUGGCUUUGGCUACCUCAGGUUUUUCUUACUCUUCUGGCUCCGUGGCAGUCAAUGGAAAUCUUACAAACAGCCCAGCCCAUCUUAACCAUAGUGUUGAUCAGGCAGCUCUGGACGACUCUGGGAGUCUCUUUAACUCUGUAGGGUCUCGGAGUUCCACUCCACAACAUCCUUUGCUAAUGAUGAGGAACUCUGGGCAGAACUCCCCUGCUCAGCAGCACUCGAGCCCCCGCUUAGGUGGCCCGGCCCAGAGCCUGGCAGGGGGACUGCAGAGUGCAGAGGCCCAGAAGAUCUUUGCCGAAGGAACAAAGGGGGAGCCGCAGUGUGAUGCAGCGUUUUCAGAUCCUGAGAACGAGGCCAAGAGGAGAAUCAUCUUUACAAUCUCUCCUAAUACAGGACAUGUAAAACAAUCCCCUUGCAGCAAGCACAGCCCCGUGGCCGGCAGCUGCCCGGCCCACGGGCAGGACGGGAAGAAGCGGGGCCGGCGGAAGAGAUCCAACACGGGCAGUGCCAGCGGGAACGGCGCCGUCUCCCCGAAGCGCAAAGCCCUGCCCUCGCUGGCCGGGCUCUUCACUCAGCCCUCGGGGUCACCCCUCAACAUCAACUCCAUGGUCAAUAACAUUAACCAGCCCUUAGAAAUAACAGCCAUUUCCUCUCCUGAAAACUCCCUGAAGAACUCUCCUGUUCCUUACCAGGACAAUGACCAGCCCCCAGUGCUGAAAAAAGAGAAGCCCCUCGUUCAGAGCAACGGUGUCCAUUACUCCCCCCUGACAUCGGAUGACGAGCAGGGCUCUGAGGAUGAGCACAAUAGCAGCAGAAUUGAGAGGAAAAUUGCAACAAUAUCAUUGGAAAGCAAAUCUCCACAGAAGACUGUUGAAAAUGGUGGCAGCUUAUCGGGGAGGAAACAAGCACAAAGCAACGAGAGCAUGAACAGCAGCAAAUGGAAAUCGACUUUUUCACCGAUAUCUGACAUCAACCUGACCAAAACCACCGACAGCCCCUUGCAGGCCGUGUCAGCUCUGAGCCAGAACUCCCUGUUUGCCUUCAGGCCGCCCUCCGAGGACGGGCUGCCCAUGGACACCAAGGUGCCAGGACACCCCAGGAAGAGCCUGGCAGUGCCCUCGGACGGGCUGAGCCCUGGCACAAACCCCCCCAAUGGCUUCAGCUACAACGGGGGCCUGUCCUCCGAGCUGGGCCUGCACGGCUUCAUGGACGGCGCCGCUCUUCCUCACAAAGCUGGGGACGGCUCGGCUCCCAACUGCUCCCUGGGCUUCCCCUCGCAGCGAGGCAAGGACCUGGGGGUGUCAGACACCAACCUGUUCCUGAACAAGAGGCAGCUGGAAGCUCUGGGCACCAAGGGAGAAGAGCUGAGCCGGCCGGGGGUGAAGGGCAAGGAGCUCAGCGAGCUGAGCGCCCGCGCGGGGGGGGCUGUGGAGAAAAACUCCGUGCAGCACAACGGGAAGGCCGGCAAGGGAAGGGACCGAGACGUGGAGUUCAAAAAUGGCCACAACCUUUUCAUUUCUGCUGCUGUUUCGUCCGGUGGCCUUCUGAAUGGUAAAAGCCUUUCUACUGCUGUUUCCUCAGCAGGGAACCCAGCGCCGUCUGUCCCGACGCACCAUCCCUUCCUCAACACUCUGACCACUGGAUCACAGUUCCCCCUCGGCCCCAUGGCCUUGCAAGCAAACCUCAACUCGGUGACAAAUUCCUCAGUAUUGCAGUCCUUAUUUAAUUCAAUGCCAGCUGCUGCCAGUCUGGUCCACGUGUCAUCAGCUGCAACCAGACUGACUAAUUCUCACACUAUGGGGAACUUCUCUCCUGGGGUUACAGGUGGAACAGUUGGAGGUAGGCAGAACUCUUUCUCUGGUAUAAGACAGGGCCUAAAGGAAAGUCUGACGCUGCCUCUCCAGGGGUGAAACCCUUUCAUUUCUGCAGGAUGGGAAGCAGAUCUGUCCCACAUAACCAGUCUCCUUUCUCUCUCUCUCUCUCUCUCUCUCUUGGAAUUGCUAGGAUGAUUUCAGUUCCCUACAGUGAAAUCUCAUGAGCUUUGUCUGCUAGAUGAGCUUGUUGUACCACCUUAAUGAAACAAUACACCCAGACUUUGUGAUUGAUAAUGUUUGCUUGUUCAGAUGUUGCUGUGUUGGAACCAGCUUAGGUCUGCCUGCAGGUAACAGAUUUGACUUGUCCUGGUACCAUGUUGAGGAUCUCUAACUUGUCAACUUGAGUAAAGGUUGAGUUUAGGCCUUGAAUGGAUUUAGCACGAUCCAGGAGGAGCAGAACAUCAGAGGAGCUGGUGUUGGGAGUCCUGUAGCAUUCUGGCCCUUGAAUGGACAUGAAGAGCAUUUCUUGGCCAGGAAGGGCAAUGCCACAUGCACCUUGCACUUCUGGGAUUCUGCACAGGCUUGGCUUCUGUGGCCCACACCGGGGACAAGCUGGCAGGACCAGAAGAUAGGCUGAACCUGCCAUUUCUAAGUGUCUAGGGCAGUUUUUCUUACCUGUCCAUAAUCAUUCAGGCACCAUGUCGGGAAAUCCUAACUCUCACAUCUCUCAGCACGUAGAUUUGCUGGAAUUACACCUCCCCUCUGCUGCCCUGUAAGUGGGGGAGCAGGAGGGUGGGGAGGGAAGAGCAGCACUUUGAGUCUUCAGAUAAGCAACUCUAAAGAUCACUUCUAAUCUCAUCACAACUCUGCCUGUGUGGUAUAGAAGUGACAGUUCUUGGCUCUGACCAUUUUUCCUCGUGGCCUUUAGAGGUUGGCAGUAGGAAAGGUAACUAGGAUUUCUACCUCAACCCAAUGUGACCUAUGCAAGGACAACGUGGACCAACUUCACUCGGCUUCCACUGAAAGGUGCUCACCUGGCCUGUGCAGGGGUUUCUACUCUUACUACUGGACAAAAUAAAAACCAUAAAAAAGACCUAAACAACAGAGCAAACAUUUACUGUGAAUCUGACUAAAAGAAAAAAAAAAAAAGGAAAAAGGCAAAAAAAAAAAAAGGCAAAAGAAAUGCUUAAAGCUCCAGUUUGUAUUGUUGAUAGUUUAGAUAAAAUAUUUAUCUUUUUUUUAAAGUGAAAACAAUUUUGACUUAUUUUAUUCCACCUAGAUUCAUAAAUACAAGUUAUUAUUAUUAAAUUCUCUGAAUACUAAAGGACUGGCACACCAGCAGAGAUGUAAAAGAGCCUCCUCGGUGCUAUUUUGUCCGUCAGAACUGUGCCUCUGGUUUGAAUCCUUGGUGCUGAUUUUGGGGGGUUGACCAAUGCCAAACCCAGUUUUUAAAGGUCUGCAGAUUAUUUAUUCCCCUGACUGUUCAUAUCCCAAAAUCCUCUUGGUUUGCAGCCAGGGCUGGCAGAGGAAGGAAUUCUCCCCCCGGGGUUUGGUUCGGACUGAGCCAGGCCCUUUUUAACUGGGUGGGUUUUAAUUGAGUUUGUGACUAAUGAGGGCUCUGUGCUCCCCUCUGGAGCAGCCUGGGCAGGCACAGCUGGAACAGGAGACAUCCAAGUCCUGCCCCAUCCAAACUCCUUCCCUGGGCCAUUUGCAGUUGCUGGUGGCGCUGGGGUCACUGUGAAUUUUGGUAGCUGGUCUGGUAACUCGCUUCUUGGGGCUGGCCUUGGUGUUUGAGCAGGGUGUGUGCUGGCUGGCGCUGGUGCAGCCCUUUCCCCAGUUUUGGGAAGACUGAACAUUGUGUUUCUGUCCUGCUGCAGGCUGCAGAGUUUGCUCAGCUCGUUGUUCUUUCCUUCCAAGCACGACGUGUUUCGUUGGUAGGGUUUUGAUACUUGACUCUGACCCAGCUUGGCCGUGUACAUGGAUUAACAAGGUGCAUUUUGCUUUUGUGUUCCUUUGCUUUUGAGUAGGUUCUCGAAGGGUAGUUCACAAAAACACCCUGACCUGGCUGCCUGUGCUGUCACUGUCCCCCUGGGGCAGGGACCUGCGUCGUGACUCGGUGUCGUGUGUGCAGGAAGGGCUGAUUUUAUAGAGCUGUGAUGAAAACUUCUGAGUUUCCUACACUUUAUUUCCUUUGGUUUUAGUUUGUAUAAUGCACAAUGAACCUGUAAAAACUUAUUUAUUCAAGUGCACAAGGUGAGGAGGAGAAGGAGGAUCCAUUUAAGUAGAAAUCAGGCUGGUCUGAGUUCAGGCCGGGCCAAGCACCAAUUUAAAAAACUACAGUAGAAAGGGGAUUGCAACAGCAAAAUGACUGGAAAAAAAUCACAUUCAGGCUUUGGAAAACACCUCCCCACUGCCCCUGGUGCUCAGAGGGGCAACCCUGUCCUUAAAUCCCUUCGAGUGCUCCCUGGUGAGUCUCCCACUGCAGCAGUCAGGCACUGGCAGGAGCCCCUGGGAGCCCCCCAGGGUCACAGAGCUGCUCUGGCUCUGGGGGCAGUGAGGUCCCUGGGCCCUCCUGGGCCCUCCUGGAUCCAGCAGGGUUGGGAGUGUUUGGGGAGGGGCUCAGGGGCUGCUCCCUCCCUCUGCAGGGUUCAGCUCUGUGCCUCACCCUGGGCAGCCUUGGGGAGGUUGAGGAGCAGGUGCAGUUGUGCUGUGGAUUCCUGGCUGUGUCUUCCAUGGCAGCCUCUGUGCAGCCUCUGGGCUCUGGCUUGGCCUCCUUAUCCUCUGGGAAGGGACUGAAAGCCCCUUGGGGGUAUUUUGGGAUUUCUGCUUUGUGUGGGACGGGGUGUGUCCUGCUGAGGGACUGGCAGCACAAGGAGAGCCUGGAGAAGGGCAGGAAUGCUCAGAGGGGGAGAGGAACAUCCAGUAGCUUCUCGUAGGAGCCAAACACAGUGAAUGUCCUGGAAUCCAGGAGCACAGUAACCCAGAUGUUUUGCAGCUGGGAGUUGGGCAGCUCCAGCUUCUGCCCCAGCACACAGCAGAGUUCUGGGGCCUCUGGAGACUGUAAAUGAGUGAUUGCUGAAGGGGCAGCAGCCUUAAUUAAUUUCCUAAUUACCUCUCCCCCAUCAUUUAUAUCUCUGGUGAAAGAGAGAGAGGAGGAAGUUCAAGUAGAAGCUUUUCAUCUCCCUGCUUUGAUCAGAUGCUUUCCUGCAGAGGGACCAGGAUUUGGUGCCCCUUGGAGCUCUUGUGCCUCCCUUCACCUCCAACCACAGAAAUCCAGGAAGAAAACUCAGCUGCCAUCCCUGUCCUGGCUUGGGUGGUGCCCAAGGCACUCCCAGGAUUCCUGCUGGAGAAGGAACCAACCCACAGAUCCCAUGGAACCCUCUGUGCUCUGCUCCAGGCCUGGGUCACCUGUGUCACCUGUGUCACCCUCCCUGCUGGCACCUGACACUCCCUGCAUGGUGGGAAUGAUGUGCUCUGCAUCCAGCAGCUCUGGGGAGCCAGGCUGAGCUGUCACAGGUCAGGGUGGCCUGGCCACUGUCACCUCACAGCUGGACUCACUGAUCUGAAAGAUCUUUUCCAACCUGAACAAUUCUGUGAUUCCAGGACCCUUUGGAGCAAAGGCUUUGGGGGAGGAGUUUGUCCCCUGCUCUGUGCUGGGUGCCAUGGAAAAGCAAAGCCUGUCUGUGCCUCAGUGUCACCUUUGUCACUGCCUUGGUGGCCAGCCAGUGCCCAAGGCAGGGCUGGCUCAGGAGCAGCCUCAGGAAUGGGCAGCACAGCCCCUGGAGCUCAGCACUCACCUGUGCCUGAGCCACUGCCACCCCCCAGGAGUUGUGACUCUGUGACUCUCCAGACACACCCAGGAGGGGAAGCAGACCCAGGAGUGAAUCUUUGGGGUUCCUGGGAGGGGAUCCAGUCUGCCUGAGCCUCAGCCUCCCCCUGCCUGCUGCCAUCCCAGUGCCCUCUGUUCCCACCCUGGGGGGAUCUGGAGCUGCUCCAGCCUUGCUGGUGUCCCCCCCACCCCAGGCCCUGCGCUGCAACUGCUGCUGGUUGUGAUUCCCAGGUUGUGCUUCCAGAGGGGGCCUGCUCAGCACUGAGGGAAGCCAAGGGGACACUUUGGGGCCGGUGCCUCAGCACUGGCUGAGCUGGGAGAUUUUUGCCAAGAGAUUCCUGGUUUUGUCUUCCCUCUCCCUGACCUUUUAUUGCUUUGCCAUGAGCUGGGGCAAGUUCAACUUAAAAUCUUGGACUCACAGAACAUCCUGAGUUGGAAGGGACCUGGAGACUCCUGGAGUCCAGCUCCUGGCCAGCCUCUUGCUGCUCUGUCUGCACAUUGGGAAGAGCUCUCACCUGGCUGGAGGCAGACCUUGGAUCCAUGUGGCCACAGCUGUGACCCCACUGCUGGAACACUGAGCCAGGAGCUGAAACCUGUUUGCAAUAAUUGAAGAUCCUCUGGAGCAAUCAAAGCCAAACAGUUCUAAAAAAGAGAAUUUCUGCUGCUGGUGCUGGGUCCAGUCCUUCUGGGGCUGUCACACCAUUCCCCCUCCUCCAGGCCCCUGCUGCCAGCAAAGGACUCGCCAGGAAGCAAAAACACAUCUUGGAGCAAGCCUGCUGCCAAAAAAAUGGAACUUCCUGAGUGCUGUGCUGAGGAAAACCUGUCCCUGCUGCUGAAUGUCAGCCUUGAGGAACAAGGCUUGCGUGGGCUCUUCCUUCCUUGGGCAUUUGCCACCUCUGGCUCCCCUGGGACCCACAGUGCUGGGAGGGCUCCAAAGGCACUGCACCUAAAUUUGGGAUUUGCUGCAGAUGAGUAAUUCAGCAGCAAUUCUUCUUCCAUCAGCCAGGGGUGUGGAGACACCCAGCAGCUGGAUUGCUGAGGGAGAGAGUGGGAAAGCAUUGCUGAGGAUGUGGAGGCUGGAUCUGAGCUGGUGUAGGGGAUAAAGGGGCUUGGAGGUGUCCCUCCAUCCCCUCUAGGCUUGGCACAAACGAGGCUGUUCCCUGCAGGAAGGCGUGGAUCAGUCUGGACAACCAGGGAGCAUCUUCACCUCCCUUCAGUUGUGGAUGCAGUGGGAGAGAGGAGGAGGAGGGCAGCAGCUUUUGGGGAGCAGCAGGGAGUGCAGCACCUCCUCACUGUCCUGGCAUCUCCAGUUCCUUCUGAUCACCAGGAAUUUGUGUCUCCUCCACCACACAGAUCAGAAAUUCUUGUGCUUCCAUCUCUUUACCUUCCUUGCUGUUGGGGCAGCACUUUAUCUUCCAGUUCAGGCUCUGUGCUCCCUCUGCUCCUGGCUGGGGUUGGGCUCUGGGCUCAGCCUGGCACGGGAAGUGGGAUUCCCCCUCAUUGCUGGGAUCAGGCUGAGCUUGGAGGGUCUGAGUCUGGGGUCACAGCCACAGUCCCUGAGGUCCUGCAGGCAGGAAGGUGACAUCACUUGCUCAUGAAUGGAUUUACUCAUCUCUUUUUGAAUCCAGAGAUUCCAAAUCCCCAGGACUUGACACUCCUUAGUGUGAAACUCGCCCAGCUCUGGGUCACACUCAGUUCAGCUGAGUCACUGUCUUCUUUCUUCAGUCAAAUUUAUCCUUGAGGAAGUCACUUGAGCAAUUGCAGCCUGGGAGUGAAGAGGUUUCCAGUCUGAUCAGCUCUUCCAUCCCACCUGGAAACGUGUCCAGCUUUGCUCCAGGGCUGCUUGGGGCUGUGUCCUGCCCUCACCCCUGGGGACAGGUUUCCUUCUGAGACGUGUGCUGGGGUCACUUCAGCCUUCUUUGGGGUUGGACUAAAUGACCUUUAUUGGUGCUUUCCAAUCCUCCCAAACUGUUCUGAUUCUGUUCAGACAUAUCUGGGAGGAGAUGGGUGAGAGCCAGACCUGCCUCACCUGCUGCUCCUGCACCUUCACCCAGCUCUGUGGGGUACCACAGCUCAGGUGCUCCCCAGCACAGUGAAUUUACUGCCUGGGGUCCUUGUUUCCAUCUCAGCCUGGGCUGCCCCUUCCAGGUCCUUUCCUGUGGCCGUGGGCAGGCAGCCUGGGGUUUGCUUCUUGCUGGGGUUGUGUGUUCAGGAAGCAGCAUCUGCUACCAGUGGAUAUUUUUCCACUUGGAAGAGAGUCCAGGUGACAGGGGGGGUGCCACCUGUGGCCCCAGGAUGCUCUGGCCCCCUGCCCUGCUCCAGCUGACUGGGACUCCCAGUGCUGGGAGCUGCUCUCAGGCUGCUGCUGGGGAUUCCCCUCCCUGCUCAGCCCUCCCUGGGCCCUUCCUUCCCUCCUUAGCAGGGCUGGAGCUCCCCUGAGCCCUGGGGCCACCUGCAGUGCCUGGCCCAAGGUCACUGUCCCCAGGAGCUGCUCCUGGAGCUGCCAUUCCCAGGGUCUGGGCUCUCCUGUCACUGGUGCUGAGGUGACACACUCGGUCACGUCCUGUGUGACCCCUUUGAUUUUGGUGCUGGAAUUCUCCCUCUGCUCCAGGCCCUGCAAACCUGAGGGGUCUCUGUGUGUUUUGUCCUGGAUAACUCCACCCUGGAACGAUCCCAACUCCCAGGGCUGGCUGUCAUGGAAAAUUCUGCUUUUCUUGUUUAGCCUGAGCCAAAAGCCCAGAGGGGAUUCAGGACUGGGAGCAGGGGAGGGCCCUGGGCAGGGCUGUGAACCCAAAAUGCUUUUGGGGAGCAGAAACUUCACAGUGUUUUUGUGAACUAUCUUUGCAGCACUGAGGAAAAAUCACAGGAAUUGGAGUUUUGGGAGUACAGAAGUGCAGUCAGUGUAUGAAUAUUUGAAGUCUUACUGGUUUUAAAGUUUUUUUUUUUUUUUUUUCCCUCCAUUUUCCGCUCCAUUUGCGGAUCAGGUUUUCACUAGAAGCUGUUUCAAAAUGUUGCUGUGCCAUAUUUUAUUUAUCCUUAUACAUUAUAAAUAUAUAAAUAUAUAUUUAGACUAAAUAUUGCAUUGAAAGAUGCUGUUAUUGGGAACUUCAGGGUUUGAACCCGAGACAGAAAAAUUGGGAAAUAAUUCUCCAGUGUUUUUACUGUUUGGGACCUUCUUCCUGAAGAGGAUCCUUGAGUUCUUUAUGGUGUAAAAACAAAAUCUCAUCUGAAAAUUCCAAGUUUGACAAUGCUAACCCUGAAGUUCUCAGGUUUGUGAUCCUUUGGUUUUCUCGAGGUACAUCUGGUUGCUUUUCUGGUGCAGUCAAAUAAUUUUUUAAAAGGUUUUGUCUCUGGAGUUAUUGAGGAAAAGGUGGAAUGGGUUGAUCCAUCCUGCUUGGCUUUUUUAACCUAUUAAUCUUUGAAGUGAUCAAUUUCCAAUUAAAACCCAACUUUUUAGGUCUCUGUUCUACUUAAACUUUUUAGGAGUGAGAGCCUGCCCUCGCUGAGUGGGACUUGGAUGGGGAAAGCAGUAGAUGAUGAGGUUGCUGUUGCUCAGGAAUUGAUUAGUAAACUUUUAACUACUAAUAAAAAUCCAUUUUUCAAUGGAUUUUUAGAAAAACCCAUUUUCUUAGGACAGUGGUAUGGGAUGUUUCCUAGUGAAUAGGAAUUAGUUUAUAUAGUUUAGCCUAUUAAACUGAAUUAUUUAAAAUUCAAACUUCCCCUAAUUUAUCUUUUUUUUUGUUGUUUUGUUUUGUUUUUUUGGUUGGUUUGUUUUUGGAUUUUUUUUUUAUACUGGUAAGUUGUUCUGUCAUUCCUUUCAUUCCUGCCUAGCAGUAGUGUGAAUUCUGGUGUGUAUAUAUGUAUGUAUAAUAUAUAUAUUUCCACCCAGCCUUUCUAAUUCUCCACAAUGUAAGAGUUAGGUUUUGCUCCCCUCCCUCCACUUAAUUUCUUGUGUCUCCCUUGAUUUGUAAUUGAAACGAUGCUUUGAAGUUGUCUUUAUAUUAAAGUGUCUGUAUUUUAAUACA